rnacentral:rRNA from 1 species
GGGAUGGCGGUGCUACACAUGCAAGUCGAACGGCAGCACAGGAGAGCUUGCUCUCUGGGUGGCGAGUGGCGGACGGGUGAGGAAUACAUCGGAAUCUACCUUUUCGUGGGGGAUAACGUAGGGAAACUUACGCUAAUACCGCAUACGACCUUCGGGUGAAAGCAGGGGACCUUCGGGCCUUGCGCGGAUAGAUGAGCCGAUGUCGGAUUAGCUAGUUGGCGGGGUAAAGGCCCACCAAGGCGACGAUCCGUAGCUGGUCUGAGAGGAUGAUCAGCCACACUGGAACUGAGACACGGUCCAGACUCCUACGGGAGGCAGCAGUGGGGAAUAUUGGACAAUGGGCGCAAGCCUGAUCCAGCCAUACCGCGUGGGUGAAGAAGGCCUUCGGGUUGUAAAGCCCUUUUGUUGGGAAAGAAAAGCAGGCGAUUAAUACUCGGUUGGUCUGACGGUACCCAAAGAAUAAGCGGGGGCUAACU